AAUUAUAUAUUCAAUUAUGAUUUUGGAUUGCAAAUCUAAAGGUGGAUGUUUCCUAUAAUUU
rnacentral:tRNA from 1 species